rnacentral:rRNA from 1 species
UACGUAGGGGGCAAGCGUUGUCCGGAUUUAUUGGGCGUAAAGAGCGUGUAGGCGGCCAUGUAGGUCCGUUGUGAAAACUCGAGGCUCAACCUCGAGACGCCGAUGGAAACCAUGUGGCUAGAGUCCGGAAGAGGAGAGUGGAAUUCCUGGUGUAGCGGUGAAAUGCGCAGAUAUCAGGAAGAACACCAGUGGCGAAGGCGGCUCACUGGCCCGAUACUGACGCUGAGGUGCGAAAGCGUGGGGAGCAAACAGG